rnacentral:rRNA from 1 species
ACUCCUGCGGGAGGCAGCAGUGGGGAAUUUUGGACAAUGGGGGCAACCCUGAUCCAGCAAUGCCGCGUGAGUGAAGAAGGCCUUCGGGUUGUAAAGCUCUUUUGUCAGGGAAGAAACGGUGGUGGCGAAUAACUACUACUAAUGACGGUACCUGAAGAAUAAGCACCGGCUAACUACGUGCCAGCAGCCGCGGUAAUACGUAGGGUGCAAGCGUUAAUCGGAAUUACUGGGCGUAAAGCGUGCGCAGGCGGUUGUGUAAGUCAGAUGUGAAAUCCCCGGGCUCAACCUGGGAAUUGCAUUUGAGACUGCACGGCUAGAGUGUGUCAGAGGGGGGUAGAAUUCCACGUGUAGCAGUGAAAUGCGUAGAUAUGUGGAGGAAUACCGAUGGCGAAGGCAGCCCCCUGGGAUAACACUGACGCUCAUGCACGAAAGCGUGGGGAGCAAACAGGAUUAGAAACCCGAGUAGUCCCAU